UACAGGUAAAUAUAUGAGUAUAUGCGUACGCGGGCAUGUAAAAUAGAAGAAUGGAUGUGUACUUAUUAUAUAUUUUAUCAAUUUGGGUGGUAUAGUUUGUAGUUAAGAAGUAAUCAAAAUAAAUAUGUAGGCUAUAAGAAAUAUGAAGAAAAAUAAGGAUAUGUAAUUGUGUAAAAAUAAAAAUAAACUCUACAAAUAAUAUAUUUGUUAUAUAUAGAAUUUUAGUUCUCGUAUUCUUCAAUUGUGGUCAAUGAUGGUACUACACAUCUUGGCUACGAAGUCCGAAGUUAGCUAUUGAUUAUGUUCGUCAAAUUCCCGCGAGUGAGAGAGAAACAUAGUCUAUCUCACUAUUCUACGAUCGUAGAAUCGUAGAAUCAUGGAAGAGUGAGAAAGCCUAUAAUAUGUUUCUCUCUCACACGCUGGAACUUGGCGAGCUCUUGUGGCCAGUCUCUGAUUACAAGGUCUCAACUGUCAACGCUGUUUAGCGCUACAGGCUGUUCGCGGAGCUAGAUGAUAGUGCUAGUAAACGCUAUCAUAACGUCACUAAUGGUAGCGUUAUACGUCAUAACCGCACGCUACAUACAAUAGUAUCAACGCUUUUCCUUCCGAGGUGGGGUCCCGUUUGCCGACAUUCCCGAUUGCCAACAGCUUCGUUUGCCCACAACUUUUUGCGGACAGCUUCAGUUGCUGACAUUUCCGAUUGCCUACAAACCGAUUGCCCACAAGCAGUAUUGUGCACAUGUAAUACAAAAACAAAUUUUCAGAGAUUGUCGAGGGCAUCAUAAGAAUCAUUUUUUUGCAAAUGAACCUAGGAUUGUGAACGUGCUACAGCAUAUGGGGCAACAUGUCUUUAUUGGCUAGAUCAUUUAUAAAAUUUAUAUUUUCUGAGAUAUUUCGAGGUCUCGACCUUUUUCGAAUACUGUAGCGAUGUAAUAAUAUGCGUCAGACCCGAGAUUUAUUCAUCACGUGGGCGCGCGCAUAUAUGUAUGUACAAUAUAUGUAUAUGUAUGACUAACGAAAUAAUUUAAGAAU